GGUUGUGGCUCAGAGGUAAAACAUUUGCCUAGCACGCAUGAGGCCCUGGGUUCUAUCCUCAGCACCA
rnacentral:tRNA from 1 species